rnacentral:rRNA from 1 species
CGGGGUGAGUAACGCGUGGGUAACCUGCCUCAUACAGGGGGAUAACAGUUAGAAAUGGCUGCUAAUACCGCAUAAGCACACAGUGUUGCAUGACACAGUGUGAAAAACUCCGGUGGUAUGAGAUGGACCCGCGUCUGAUUAGCUAGUUGGUGGGGUAACGGCCUACCAAGGCGACGAUCAGUAGCCGACCUGAGAGGGUGACCGGCCACAUUGGGACUGAGACACGGCCCAA